GUUUGGUUCAGUCUUACCUCUGGACCUACAGCCAGAACAGAAGGUUUGGUUCAGUCUUACCUUAUACCUACAGCCAGAACAGAAGGUUUGGUUCAGUCUUACCUUAUACCUCUGGACUUCCAGCCAGAACAGAAGGUUUGGUUCAGUCUUACCUUAUACCUCCGGACCUACAGCCAGAACAGAAGGUUUGGUUCAGUCUUACCUUAUACCUCUG